CUUCCCUGGUGGCUCAGGUGGUAAAGAAUCUGCCUGCAAUGCAGGAGAUCUGGGUUUGAUCCCUGGGUUGGGAGAUCCCUAGAGAAGGAAAUGGCAACCCACACCAUUAUUCUUGCCUGGAGAAUCUCAUGAACAGAGGAACCUGGCAGGCUACAGUUCAUUGGGUCACAAAGAGUACAAUAGAGUGACUAACACACACACACACACACACACACACACACACGGGAGGCGAGGGGAGAAUAAGUAAAGACACACCAAGAAGAUGACCAUCUACAAGUCAAGGAGAAAGGUCUCAGAAUGAACCCACCCUGCUGACACCUUAAUCUUGGACUUCCAGCCUCCACAACUGCUGCUGCUGCUAAGUCACUUCAGUCGUGUCCGACUCUGUGCGACCGCAUAGACGGCAGCCUCCACAACUAAGAGAUAGUGAAUGUUGUUUAAGCAUCUAGUCUUGAUACUUUGUUAUGCAGUCCAGCAGAGUCAUGUGUCAUCUUUGCACAAUCAGUACACUUGUAACUUUCUGAAUCAGGAUUUGGGGAGUGUCACUUAGGCCCCCCACCAAAGUCCCACACUGGCUAUCACUAUGCAGAAAGUGCUCUGAAAUUUUCAUCAGUGGUCCAUAAUGACCAAAAGAUGAAGAACCUAGUGAGAAAAAAAUAGUCCUCAGGGAGUUCAUUGCUUUGGUUUCCUGGAAUGGGAUAUGCUGUUACAAUAAUGGCCUUUGGGUCAAGUCCUUUUCAUAUGAAAACUCAUUGAAUGCUCCUGCGAUGUCUUCAAAUGAGUUGCCAUUGUUUUCUCAUCCUAUGAGAUAACCAAGAGGUCACCGAGUUUGUGCGUAGAGUUGCCGGGGAUGUAAACCCAGGCCGCCUACCUCCUUAGUCUGCUAUGCAAACCUGCAGGAUUCUGUGAAUAAGAGAAGCCUCAGUGUCUUCCACCUCUUUCUUUCUCCUAAACGUUUCCUGAUGACUUAUUUGUUGUUAUUUCUUCUCCUUUUAAUCACCCAGGAUCUGCUACUUGGAAACUGGUUUAAAAACAACAGACCUUUUUUGGCAUCAACUGCUAAAAAGACAUCAAAUGGAAGAGAAUAUAUUGGCACCAGGAUCAUAGGCGCACGGGCCGGAUACCCUGUUUCAUUUGUGGUUCCGUGAAGAGGGACACUUCACCUACGCAUUUUCGGCUCUUUCUCUGCCCAUUUUACUUUCUCUUCCCUGAGGAGGUGGUGUAACUUACCAGGCUGAUAAAUUUGGGAAAAAUCAAGUGGGCUCACCCACUGCAGCCCAGUCUCUCUUUUGUGUGGUCCUGGCUGCCCGCAAAAGGUAAUCCUGGCUCCUCCAAGCUCUAGCCUCUUCUGCCAAUAGCCCGUAUAAAGGUGCCGGGUGUGGAAGGAGUUUCCUGUGCUCUCUAUCACAUCUUUUUGGUCCAUCUUUGGUUGCAGCCACAUCUGCAGAAAUUCAAGUUCAUACUCAGGUAGCAGAGACAUCUCCUGCCCCGCCCCUGCUCCUCCCACCUCUAUCCAGGGCAUAUCACAAGUCUUUCCACUUCCUGACUUCUCUGGGGCUGUGAGAAGCUGCUUGACCCUCAAAAUCUGGCAGUGGAAGUAUCAGGGAGCUACAUCCCUGGAGACACCACUACACCAAUCAGGAGAGAAGCCAAGGAUGCUUACUCCCGACUCCCAUCCUUCAAACUCUCAUUUCUGCUUCCUGGAAUCACCUUCCAAAUAAUCUAUCUAUACCCAAGCCCUUGUCAUACUCCCUCAUUAGGAAACAACCCAAAUGAAGACACUGCUCAAUGCUGUAUUCUGUGAACUGAGCUGUUUUUCUUUGGCAUGAAGCAAAGUCCUAAAGCCUCUAUCCCCAAUAAAGUUUCUGUUUUACCUCUAUAUUAAC
ensembl:lncRNA